rnacentral:rRNA from 1 species
GCAGCCUCUUUGCAGCCUGAUCUCAUUAGAUCUCAGAAGCUAAGCAAAGCUGGGCCUGGUCUGGCCUGGAAUGGGAGGCCUCUAAGGAACAUCUGGUCUACUGCU